AGCUUAUCCAGAGAGACUGAGGGACUGGCCCGAGGACGUCCAGCAACCAUCAUUUAAAGAAAGGUGCUAAUUCCUGCAGGGUGUUUCAUUCUGAAAGAUACGGU
rnacentral:ncRNA from 2 species